rnacentral:rRNA from 1 species
AAGCGGUGGAUGAUGUGGAUUAAUUCGAUGCAACGCGAAAACCUUACUACCCUUGACAUGUCCGGAAUCCCGAAGAGAUUUGGGAGUGCUCGCAAGAGGACCGGAACACAGGUGCUGCAUGGCUGUCGUCAGCUCGUGUCGUGAGAUGUUGGGUUAAGUCCCGCAACGAGCGCAACCCUUGUCAUUAGUUGCCAUCAUUUGGUUGGGCACUCUAAUGAGACUGCCGGUGACAAACCGGAGGAAGGUGGGGAUGACGUCAAGUCCUCAUGGCCCUUAUGGGUAGGGCUUCACACGUCAUACAAUGGUCGGUACAGAGGGUUGCCAACCCGCGAGGGGGAGCUAAUCCCACAAAGCCGAUCGUAGUCCGGAUCGCAGUCUGCAACUCGACUGCGUGAAGUCGGAAUCGCUAGUAAUCGUGGAUCAGCAUGUCACGGUGAAUACGUUCCCGGGUCUU